rnacentral:rRNA from 1 species
GAGUUUGAUCAUGGCUCAGGAUGAACGCUAGCGGGAGGCUUAACACAUGCAAGUCGAGGGGUAUCAGUAGCAAUAUUGAGAGACCGGCGCACGGGUGAGUAACGCGUAUGCAACCUGCCCUUUACCGGGGGAUAGCCCGUAGAAAUGCGGAUUAAUACCCCAUAGUUCCCUGUUGCUGCAUGGCAAUUGGGAUAAAGCCUAGGUGGUAAAGGAUGGGCAUGCGUGACAUUAGCUUGUUGGUGAGGUAACGGCUCACCAAGGCUGCGAUGUCUAGGGGUUCUGAGAGGAAGAUCCCCCACACUGGUACUGAGACACGGACCAGACUCCUACGGGAGGCAGCAGUGAGGAAUAUUGGUCAAUGGGCGAGAGCCUGAACCAGCCAUCCCGCGUGCAGGAAGAAUGCCCUAUGGGUUGUAAACUGCUUUUUCGCAUGAAGAACACUCCGGACGUGUCUGGAGCUGACGGUAAUGCGUGAAUAAGCACCGGCUAACUCCGUGCCAGCAGCCGCGGUAAUACGGAGGGUGCAAGCGUUAUCCGGAUUUAUUGGGUUUAAAGGGUGCGUAGGCGGUAAUAUAAGUCAGUGGUGAAAUCCUGCAGCUCAACUGUAGAACAGCCAUUGAAACUGCAUUACUUGAGUAAUCUUGAGGUAGGCGGAAUGUGUAGUGUAGCGGUGAAAUGCUUAGAUAUUACACAGAACACCGAUUGCGAAGGCAGCUUACUAAGGAUUUACUGACGCUGAUGCACGAAAGCGUGGG